GCGGGUUUAGCUCAGUUGUUUAGAGCGCGUCCUUGCCAAGGACGAGGUCGAGAGUUAGAGUCUCUUAACCCGCACCA
rnacentral:tRNA from 1 species